rnacentral:rRNA from 1 species
UACAGAGGAGCCAAGCGUUGUCCGGAUUGACUGGGCGUAAAGCGCACGCAGGCGGUUGCGCGCGUGGGGUGUGAAAUCUGGCCGCUUAACGGCCAGGCGCCAUCCCAUACGGCAUGACUGGAGUGAUGCAGAGGUCGAUGGAAUUGCCGGUGUAGUGGUGAAAUGCGUAGAGAUCGGCAGGAACACCCAGGGGGAAACCAGUCGACUGGGCAUCUACUGACGCUGAGGUGCGAGAGCGUGGGGAGCGAACCGG